rnacentral:rRNA from 1 species
UACGUAGGGUCCGAGCGUUGUCCGGAAUUAUUGGGCGUAAAGAGCGUGUAGGCGGCUGGGUAGGUCCGCUGUGAAAACUCGUGGCUUAACCUCGAGACGUCGGUGGAAACCAUCCAGCUAGAGUCCGGAAGAGGAGAAUGGAAUUCCUGGUGUAGCGGUGAAAUGCGCAGAUAUCAGGAAGAACACCCGUGGCGAAGGCGGUUCUCUGGGACGGUACUGACGCUGAGACGCGAAAGCGUGGGGAGCGAACAGG